rnacentral:ncRNA from 2 species
AGGUAUAUUAUAUAUACAGGUGUUUAUAUAACUCAAUCAGGGAACCUCGUGCAAGUCGGGGACGAGCCCGUCGCUGUAACCCUGCCCUUUUCUUUUGGUGAAAAGGGAACCCUUUUAGCAUUAAAAAUGUCACUGUUCCAAUUACCCGGGAUGGGAAGGCCGCUAAAAAGGCAGGGAAGUCAGAAGACCUGCCUGAAUCAAAUAAUGCUU